GAUGAACGCUGGCGGCGUGCCUAAUACAUGCCAGUCGAGCGAACAGACGAGGAGCCUGCUCCUCUGACGUUAGCGGCGGACGGGUGAGUAACACGUGGAUAACCUACCUAUAAGACUGGGAUAACUUCGGGAAGCCGGAGCUAAUACCGGAUAAUAUAUUGAACCGCAUGGUUCAAUAGUGAAAGACGGUUUUGCUGUCACUUAUAGAUGGAUCCGCGCCGCAUUAGCUAGUUGGUAAGGUAACGGCUUACCCAGGCAACGAUGCGUAGCCGACCUGAGAGGGUGAUCGGCCACACUGGAACUGAGACACGGUCCAGACUCCUACGGGAGGCAGCAGUAGGGAAUCUUCCGCAAUGGGCGAAAGCUUGACGGAGCAACGCCGCGUGAGUGAUGAAGGUCUUCGGAUCGUAAAACUCUGUUAUUAGGGAAGAACAAAUGUGUAAGUAACUAUGCACGUCUUGACGGUACCUAAUCAGAAAGCCACGGCUAACUACGUG
rnacentral:rRNA from 1 species